GUGGGGAAUAUUGGGCAAUGGGGGAAACCCUGACCCAGCGACGCCGCGUGAGGGAAGACGGCCUUCGGGUUGUAAACCUCUUUUGUACGGGAAGAAGGAAGUGACGGUACUGUACGAAUAAGUCCCGGCUAACUACGUGCCAGCAGCCGCGGUAAUACGUAGGGGACGAGCGUUGUCCGGAAUUACUGGGCGUAAAGGGCGCGCAGGCUGUGCUGCAAGUCAGCUGUGAAAUGUCUGGGCUUAACCCGGGCAUGCGGUUGAGACUGCAGUGCUGGAGUGCUGUAGAGGCAAGUGGAAUUCCCAGUGUAGUGGUGAAAUGCGUAGAUAUUGGGAAGAACACCGGUGGCGAAGGCGACUUGCUGGGCAGCAACUGACGCUGAGGCGCGAAAGCCAGGGGAGCAAACGGGAUUAGAUACCCUUGUAGUCC
rnacentral:rRNA from 1 species